UAGUUGACGUUUGAAAUUUAAACUAUUGGAAAUGCGAAAUGCUUCGGUGGUGUUUUGUUUUUAGACCUGGGUGCAAUUACAAUUAAGAAUGUGUUUUAUUUCAAAGAGAUCGGAAAUUCUGCUGCCAAGACUUAUAUUUCUUUUGUUAGCAAAUCAUAUCGUACAAACUAACCAAGACGAAAUAUUUCAUAACGUGGGAAUGGCUGAACAAGUGACUGAAGCCGACUCAGUCCUAGUACUCACUUGCAUCGAAGUGUUAAACCUAUCAGAUGGUGAAAUCAAAUGGGCAGUUCCUCGAAUAACAAAAUAUAAGGAAAAAACGAAGAAACGCCUUUAUGAAACAACUGUUACCAAUGAAACGCACUUGAUCUCGACUAUGACUUAAAAAACACCGAGCCCACUGACACGGGCAUUUACAAAUGUCGUGGGAAAAACAAAGAAGAAACUCGCUAUGUUUAUGUUUCCAGUUAAAUAUUAAUUUCUUUCCUUCGAGGACAUUUGGAAGUCAUCAAUAAAAUAACCUUUUGACUCGAUUCAGGUCACGCAAAAAUGGCUUUCAUGGACUAUCUUGCUAGUACGUACGCGCCAAAUUUCAAGGCUAAUCCAGGGGAAUCUAUUCAGUUUCCUUUCAAGACAACUCAUCCCAACGUCAGCAUCUCCGUUUUCCAGCAAACAACAGAAAUACAAGUCCAUCCCCGAAAUGAAUUCUUUGAGAUUUGGAAUUCCUCAUCCCCGCUUGAAAAUCCAAGAUGGUCAUUCAACUCUAAAUUCGGACUGAUGUUGGCGAACGCAACAAUU